CCAAAAGACUAUUAAAGAUAUAAUGAUAUAGUAAAUUCCUAAAAAGAUUAAAUAUAGCAAAAGCUAAUAAGAACGUAGGCAAUUUGCCAGGCACUUAUCUUUAAAAACCUGUUGAACUGAAACAUCUUAGUAAACAGAGGAAAAAAAUCAACCGAGAUACUUAAAGUAGUGGUGAACGAAAUAAGUAUAGCCUAAAACCUAAUAAUAAGGAAGUACAAAAUAUUCUGGAAAGUUUUAAUAAUUAAGUAUAAGUACAAAAGAGAAUACAGAAAUAUAAAGAAAGCCUAAGAAAGAAUAGAAAUUACAGCUAUAUAAAAUAUAAAUACGUUAUAAAAAAAGAAAGCUUACAUACAAAAAUAAAAAAAAACCAGAUUUUGAUUAUAUAGAUUAAUUUAAACAAUAUAGAUUAUUACCUUGGAUGGUGAAAGGCCAGUAAGAAUUAUUAUUAGGUAAAAAUAAACUAAAAUGAUAGUAAAUUUGUUUGAAUAAAGGGGAACCAUCCUCUAAGGCUAAAUAUUAUAUAAUAAGCGAUAGUGUAAAGUACCGUGAGGGAAAGUUGAAAAGAAGAAGUUUAAAAACUAGUGAAAUAGAACCUAAAACUAUGAAUUCUAUAAGUUCCGGUAAGUAAAAAAAGAUUUUACAACCGGGUACCUCUUGCAUAAUGGGUCAGCAAAUUAAUAAAAAGAGCAAGAAAGAUUUCUUAGAUAAAAAAAACAAAGUUCUUUUUAUUAGACCCGAAACCAAGUGAUCUUUAUAUAAUCAAGUUUAGAGACUGAACCGUAGUAUGUAGCAAUAUACUCGGAUGAAUUAUGUAAAGGGGUGAAAUACUAAUCGUACUUGGAGAUAGCUGGUUUUCUGUGAAAACUAUUUUAGUAGAACAUUUUAUAUAAUUUUACUCAUUUCUGCUAAGGGAUUUCAUAUUACAAAAAAAGUAUUUGGGGGAGCUUCGCGGCUUUUACCAGUGGAAUCUAAUCAUAAUUAAAGAGUAAAAGAAUAAAUAAAAAAGUCAGACAUAUUGUGAUCAGAUAAUAUGUCAAAAGGGAAAUAGCCCCUCGCUUUAUAUAAGGUCCCUAAUAAAUAACUAAGUGAUAUUAAGAGAGUUUUAUUUUAUAAUCAGAUUUAUAGUAGGCUUGGAAGCAGCCAACUUAUAAUGAAAGCGUAAAAGCUCAUGGAAAAGCUUAAAAGAUAUUAUGAGACAUCUAAAAUUUAAGGGUCUAAGUUAUUAACCGAAAAAAAGAAAAAUAAAUAAAUGAAUGAAUGAAUGAAUACAUAAAUUCAUACAUAAAUAAAAAGGUAACAGAAUAUUCAGUAAAUGGCUUAAAUUAAGAAGAAGACUUAAAUUUAAAACUAUCUGAAGAAAUAAUGCUGACAUGAGUAACAAUAUGAAAUGAAUUAAUCAUUUCCGCCGUAAGAAAUAGGUUGCGUUUUUAUUUUGUAAAUUAAACGGUAAAACGGUCUCUAAGAUAAGUAAGAAAUUCUAUCGAUGAGUUAAUAAAAAUAAAAAAUCUUUCUUUAUAAAGAAGAGCUUAGGUUCUUUUUUAAUAAAAAUAAGCUGGAAAAUAUUAUAUUAAACCGUACUAAAAUCGACACAGGUUUUUAAGUAGAGAAUACUAAGGCGUAUGAGUUAAUCAUCUUGAAGGAACUCGGCAAAUUAACCCUGUAACUUAGGGAUAAGGAGGCGGAUCACUUAAAAGUGAUUCGGGCACAAAAUAAAAGAGAACAACUGUUUAUUAAAAACACAGGACUUUGCAAAGAUUAUUGCUUUCAAAGUAUAAAGUCCGAAACCUGCCCGGUGUUAGUCAGCUAAAAAAACAAAGUAUAAAGCUAAGUUUAAGAAACUCUAGUAAACGGCGGUCUUAUAAGUGAGGAUCCUAAGGUAGCAUAACCCCUUGGCAUUUAAUUGAUGUCUUGCAUGAAUGGUGUAAUGAUUCUCUUACUGUCUCCAAGAUGAACUCAGUGAAAUUUCAAUAGCCGUGCAGAUGCGGUUUACCAUUAGUUAGACGGGAAGACCCUUUGAAGCUUUACUGUUAAUAAAUAUGGAAAUUUAAUAUUUAAUAAAAGGUAAUCUAUUUAGAUAAUUAAACCUAUUCUUAAAAUUUCUUUUUACGGUAUACUAAUACCUGUUUUUAUGAGACAGUUUAUCUGGGGAGGAUUCCUCAUAAAUAGUAACUGAGUGAGUUCAAAGCUUAAUUAUAAAUAGAAGGGGUAUCUGCGUUCAAUAUGAACUUUAUAAAUGUAAUGGUCAAAAUUAAGUUAAUAGCAAGGACUAAAAUCCUAUCUAAUACGUAAGUAGGACAUAGUGAUCAGGUGAUCUCAGUAUGGAAUGGUCAUCGUUUAACUGAUAAAAGCUACUCUAGGGAUAACAGGCUAAUGAGUCCUUAAAGUACGCAUUGACGGACUCGUUUGGCACCUCGAUGUCGACUCGUCUUAUCCUCGUUGAGUAUAUCCAGCGAAGGGUUCGGCUGUUCGCCGAUUAAUAAGGUUCGUGAGUUGGGUUAAAUACGUCUUAAGACAGUAUGGAUCCUAUCUUCUAAUGGAAUAAGAAUUAAUAAAAUUGAAUUAAACCCUUGUACGAAAGGAACGGGUUAAGUUAAUCUAUGGUAUAUCAGUUCCGAGGAAAAGUAUAUCCUCCGACUGCUGAAAUGCUAAAUUAAUAAAGGAGAAUAAUUGAAAGCAUAUGAAAUUAAAAACCUUUCAAUUGAAAUUCUUUAAAGAAGUACGUAAGUACUUUAUUAAUUUU
rnacentral:rRNA from 1 species